AUGAACUUCGAAGCUCCCAAGCUAAAGAUGUUGGACUUAUCAUUUUCAAACGUUGAUGAUAUCUCAAACACUUGUUGUGGGCUUUUGCAAUUGUUAAUAAAUGAUUGUUUAGGAUGCACAGAGAAGGGAGUGAAACAUGUGGUAGAAAAAUGCACACAACUGAGAGAGAUCCAUUUGAGAGACUGUUUGAAUGUGCGUACGAAUGUUGCCGCCUCAGUGCUAUUUUUAAGUCCAUCAUUGAGAAAGAUAACUUCUCCUCCUCAUAUUCAUUUCAAUGAAAGUGAGAGGAUACUCUUAUUGCAACGAGGAUGUGUUGUUUGCUGA